UAGGUCUUCACAGCCUCUGGAAAAUGCAACCAACAUUGAUGAGACGUUCCCACAGAAGCACUGCUCAGGCAGCAUCCGGGAGUGGGUCGGAAGAGAGACUGUGAUGCUUUCGAAAAUGUGGUGUCUCGGUGUCUGCUGUUUCUGUUAAUCCUGAAGAUGCUCACCCGUGAGACUGAAUCAGAAGCCUGUCCCUGCCCUCACUCAGAGGAUGAGUCACACGGUGUGGGCGAGGUUUGGAGAUGGAAGCCAGCUCUGCUCUCUCCGUUGGUAACCAAGGCAAAGGCAUCUUGCUGAGAGAAUGCUUGCAAGUGCAUAGAAAGCUAAUCCCACGGUCAGGCCUGUGAAUGUUGGUUACCACUGUUGGCUAUCCUUUGCUUAAGUUUAAGUCACGGCAUCUUCAGAAUCACAUAGUUCCAAGAUACCAAGCUGCAGCACUAACAAAGAGAUGAAGGACUGUCUUCUAGGCUGCACAACUGGCAAACCGAAGUCCUGCAAUUCCAGGCGAGGAUUGCUGCACUUACUUGAGAGACUUUGUUCCUCCUUUGUACCUGCCACGCGCUCUGCUGGGCACAGUUGUGUCCCUGUAAUCAGCAUAGUGAAGACCAAUGGGGUAGUUUGGUCACCGUAGGAAAAAAAAAACAAACUCUUCGACGCCGAUUUCACAACUACUCAUGGAAUCCCACAAACUCUUCUUUGCUGCAGCUCAGAAUCUCUUCAACUGACCGAAUUAUUUCCGUCGAUGUGAAUUUCAAUGCCAUCCAAUAGCAACAAGAUUCAACUAAACAAAGGAUGAGCUGUCCUUAGGGUUUCCCAGAGGGGCUUCUGUCAUAACUUUUCAGUCAGAUGAAUCUGAAGAAUAAAAUUAUUACCAUCUGUCCAGUUCAGGUAGAGAGGAAACUUGUAUUUUAGGGAUGGGCUUUUCUUCUCGUGGGUCUCGUCAGGAGAUUAAAAAUAAAAGAUUCCCCUCCCCCAAAUUCCAUCACCAAGGACAGGUCAUAAUAUCAGGACAUGUCAGUCAGAGGUGAGUGAGAAGCAUAAACUGCUGAGAAGCAGAGACAGACCGAUAGCUCUAGAUGAGGCCAGAGACAGCAUGAGGAAGAGUGCAGACUAUACUAGGGAGAACAAAGGAGAAAAUGAUCGGGCCCAUCCGCGAUUUCGCGAAGCUCUUUGGAGAACUGAAAAUCACUGAGUCGAGUCCUGGACAGCGAGGAAUGUGCUUCCGAAGGACGAAUGACGCGGGAGAGGAGUGGAGUGUAAAAUGGCGUUCAAGUGCCUGUAUCAAAAGGAAGCAUCAGACAACUUGGAAAUCGAUCAAUAGUGUCAUUCAAGUGGAACACAGAACAGACAAUAACCGAAAGAGUAAAGUAGACCCAUUGCUGGGUGACAGAUUUUACUGAGGAGACAUGGUGCACGCGCUUACUCGUCCCAUGUGGGAACCCGAGGCAGACCACAGUAGCACUUGCACCAGUGUUCUACUUGGUGAGCCAGGAUGUUCUCAUUAGAGUUAUCAACAGACGUGUGGUGAGCGGUUACUGACAACAAAUAGGACCAACUCAAAUGUAGCUGUCUGAUCCGAGGGCCCGCAGCAACAGAGCAAGCUGCUCCUCAGGAAGGCUGCGACCCUGGAGCAAUCGGGAUAGCUUGCAGGCCACCGCCCAAACCUCUCCUCUGCAGCAAUGCAUCUCUACCCAGCAACUGUUUGCUCCUUUUAUAAAACUGGGAGAGACUUUCCAGAGGAUCUUCCAAGUUGUUCUUUUCCUAGACGUGUGACCUUUUCUUUACCUCCCAAGUCUCCGGAGCCUCUUCCUUUCUCCUGGAGGGAAGGUUUCAGUUCAGAGGAAAUUGCCUGACAGCUCCUGUAUGUGCCCCUUUCCACUGCUAACGCAGCCUCUGCUUCUUCCAAACCCACAGAGCAGAGGUCAUGAUGGCAUUGCGUCUGUGGAGUUAGUGCCAGAUUCCACGGAUUCAAGAGUUAUCCCAUUUCUCCCCAUUUCUCUUGGGAUUCCAAGGCUACCCAUACUUCCCAGUUAACUACAAACGUGGGGGUUCCCAAACGCUUCUCCACAGGUUCGUUAGUGGUCUGCUGUAGAGGAUACAGCUUGGGGCCUUCUGAAUGGUAGGACCUAAAGAACAAGAUAGAAAGGGCUGUAGGUAGGGCCCGGUAUAAGGCUGCUCUGUAGCCCAUGAGUUGCUCACCAGUGAGAUGUUCUAUGACCCUUGUGUUCAUCAAAGGCUCAUUAUGCAGGCAUGAUUAAGUCAUUGGCUAUGGUGGCUGAACUCUUUCUCCAGCCUUUUUCCACUCCUCGGGGAAGGUUAAGGUUACUGAAACUUUCAACCUGUUAGUCAAGGGGUUGGUUCUACAGAUGACCGGCUCUCAUCCUGAAUCUAUUUAGCUCCAAUUCUCUUCUUGCGUCCACAUUGUUGUAAAUGUGGUGCUCUGCCAGCCUGACUUUCAGCAACUCAACAGCAGCAGCACCAGGGGUGGCACUGGUUUCCACUGUCACUAUGAGGAAGACAGGAGAUUGAUCAUCAGUCAAAUCCACGGAUCUGUGAGGAAAAAUCUGUAAACACCUGUAAACAUCUGUCAACAUCCGGAACACUGCCCAGGACUGUGUGGAUGUUUGAUUAAGCUUCUGUUCGCUCACUUUUGAGCUAUUAAGAGUUCUGUUAUUAAGGUUCUAUUUAUAAGGUCAAAUGCAUUCAGUUGAUCAAAGCCCCCAGGAUUACCACUGGCAUUGUUAGAGCUCAGGUCACUUUCUGGUUCAAAUGCUGGAUAUUUUAUUUCAUUUCUGCCUCUGUGGGUGAGUGCUGAGGGAGUAAAUCUCUCUGCCGAGCAGAGAGAUGCUAUGCAGGGUCCAUGGUUGCUGUUCUUUUUCCUCACGCCUCCAGCAUUCACAUACCCGUGAUUGACGAUCAUUGUUUUACGGUUUUUAAAAUUCCUAUCCAGAGACUUCAGAUUAAUAAUUUCUAUCAGAUGAUUUCCGCUAGUCACUUUACAACACACCAGGAUAUAUGACCGGUAGGUACAAGGAAGUAUUUAUUUGAUUAAAAUCCUUUCGCUUAAUUUUCUGGUUGCCAGUAGCAACCCACAAAAGAUAGAUCUAAAACGACAAGUCGGUGCCACGAAGAUUGCCAGCCAUGUUUUAUUCUUUCCUGAGUUGUGGUUUUAAAAUAGCCUUCCCAGUGCUGAUAGCAAUAAAAACAAUUGCUGUGUAUUCUGCCUUAGACAUAUCGACAAACCAUCUCAUAAACAGCCUGGGCUACUAAUGAACUUUUCCCUGAGGCUUUUAGAUGCAGCCUCAGGCCCCAUAGACUGAAGCUAUGUCCAUAGCUAUAGGGACAAUGACAGUGUUUGUACUAUAAAAAAUAUUUUCUAAUUUCUAUAAACUAAUGCAUGAGAUCAGUGUGAAACACAGAGUAGCAGAAAUAUUUGCAUCUUUUUGAAAACUACCGUCAUUUAAUAAACAAUGUAUAUCACCUCUUUAAGAAUUUGCCUGUUCUUCUAUAAAGGAGUACUGAACACAUUAAAGGAAACUAAAAAUAAAUCCUGGGCAGAGCUGUUUGUAGACGACAGUGAAAUUUUAUUAGGCGGCUUUCUAAGGGCAGACGGAGAAGUCUCUGCAAGCAGAAAAAUGUUGCUGUGCAGAAGCAGGACAAACCUUUGAGAGAUUUGUUGGGUCUUCUAAAGUGGGACCUGGCAUACAGAAAAACCAAAACCCAAACCUCAUGCUGGUCACUGUGGUACGAGGGCAUCAUAGAUAGGCAGGACUUUUGGUUGCUUCCUUCCGUUGGAAGCUUGCAUGGGGCAUUCUGGUACGGUGGAUGCUGGGAGGAGACUUUCAGGUCAACAAAACCCAACUGAAGUAGCAUGGCUUCAGUUUCACUCUGUGCCCACUACUUUGCUCACUUUCAAGUCAUUUGAGAGCCUUGUAGUGCUCAUGUUAGUUCUGCUUGCUCAAGCAGAUGCUCUGUGACUGACCCCUUCCUGCUAUACUCAUGGGCACGAGGACGAUUACCAUAUUGGCUCCUGCGGGUUGAG
rnacentral:lncRNA from 1 species